GGGGUUGUGGCUCAGUGUUAGAGCACUUGCCUAGCACGUGUGAGGCACUGGGUUUGAUCCCCAGCACCA
rnacentral:tRNA from 1 species